GUGAGUCAUGGGCUCCAGCCUGCCGCCAAAGGGUUGGUCCGGGGCGAGGCCUGGACUCCUGGGACUGGAAGCUGGUUCUGAAAGGCCAGGGUCAGGUGAGCUGGACCUUAGUUCAGCCGCCACCGCACUGAGACCUCAGACAACUCCCUGAACUUAUCUGGGUCUCAGUUUGUCCUGCAAACUAGGAGCAGUUAUGUCUGCCUCCUGUCCUGGAGUGUUUGUUGAGGAUUCCUGCAUGCAUCGGUACUCUUCUGAGAAAUGAGGAUAAGGAUAGAGAGGCAUAAGGUGGUGAUGAAGAUUCAGUGUGGAAAUAUAAAGCGUUCUGGCAAAAAGAAGGCCCUCCGAAAGCGCUGCCUGCUCUUCCCAGAAUGGAGGGAGAAAAAUGUUCCUGUACACGCACCCGGAGGCUCUUGCAGGAGGCGGCUGUUGGAGAAACGGGAAAACAAGCCAAGAAACAAGAGAGAGGAAAAAGACCACACCUCGCCUGGCAGAUUCCUAAUGGCCCAGGAGACCCA
rnacentral:lncRNA from 1 species